rnacentral:rRNA from 1 species
AUGUCGAGCGUCGGUGCUGAGGAGGCCGGGCACAAGCUCCUGUCCAUCGUGAGGCCGGGCCAGGAGGCGGAGCUCUGCGGCAUGCUCGUGGAGUGCUGCAAGCACGAGAGGGCGUCGUCCAACACACGGUUCUACGGCCACCUCGGGCAGCGGUUGUGCGGGAUCAGCCGAGCGUACCAGGCAGGCUUCGAGGCGUGCUUCGAGCGGUGCUACGCGGCGGCGCACCGCAUGGGCACCGACGAGCUGCGGGCGGCCGCGGGGCUCUUCGCGCGCCUGCUGGCGGCCGACGCCGUCCCAUGGCGCAGCAUGCUGGGCGGGGUCAGGAUCGCGGAGGAGGACACCACCUCGUCGUCGCGCAUCUUCAUGAAGGUAAUGUUCCAGGAGAUGGCGGAGCAGCUCAGGGUACGGCUGCUCGGCCGGAGGAUGAACGACGACGACGAGCCGGAGGUCCGUGACGCCCUGUUCCCCCGGGACUCUGCCGAGAACACGCGCUUCGCGGUCAAUUUUUUCACGGCGAUUGGGCUUGGCGGCGUCACUGAACCUGCGAGGAAGAUCUUAUCACUGUAA